CGGGCUGUAGUAUAGUGGUAGUAUACAUCCAUGGGGUGGAUGCGGUCCGAGUUCGAUUCUCGGCAGCCCGA
rnacentral:tRNA from 1 species